GUGCUUGCUUCAGCAGCACAUAUACUAAAAUUGGAAUGAGACAGAGAAGAUUAGCAUGGCCCCAUGUGCAAGAUGAUAUGCAAAUUUAAGUGUUCUAAUUUUU